rnacentral:misc_RNA from 1 species
UACGGAGGGUGCAAGCGUUGUUCGGAAUCAUUGGGCGUAAAGCGCGCGCAGGCGGCCGUUUAAGUCGACUGGUCAAAGGCCGGGGCUCAACCCCGUGCUCGCCGGCGAUACUGGACGGCUGGAGACAGGCAGAGGCAAGUGGAAUUUCGGGUGUAGCGGUGGAAUGCGUAGAGAUCCGAAAGAACACCGGAGGCGAAGGCGGCUUGCUGGGCCUGUUCUGACGCUGAGGCGCGAAAGCGUGGGGAGCGAACCGG